rnacentral:siRNA from 1 species
ACACGUGAAAAAGUUCAAAUGGUA